rnacentral:rRNA from 1 species
UUGAUCCUGCCAGUAGUGUAUGCUUCUCCUAAGGACUAAGCCAUGCAUGCCUAGAAUAGAGGGGGUGAUCUCUCGAAUCUGCGAACGGCUCCGCAAACCGGUUGUAAUUCAUUGUACGUCUAGCCCGGCGUCGGGCUCCUGCCCUCCGGGGUAGGGGCUGGAUCCGGGCACCGCUUAUAUGGAUAUCCCUGGUAAUUCUGGGGCUAAUACAUGGCAUAAACACUGAACUGGCCCGGUCCCGGGGGCGUAGGCUUCGGCCGAAACCAUCAACCCGGGGUAUCCCGGGCCAGGGACGUGCGAGUCUUCCAACCAAGUUCGGCUUGGGGUCUCUUCUAACCUUCGGGACGGAACGCACGUCUGAACCUGCUCCCGUCUCGUGCGGGACCGGUUCCGGGCACCGAGCUUUCUUCUGGUUGCGGGUUCAGGUUAACCCCUGGGUUCGCCUCUGGGGAUUGCGGAGUCCUUGUACCGGGCAGGUGGGUACUGCGGCUUCCGACCUAUCAACUAGAAUGCGGUAAAAUGGGCUGCAAUGGUCACAACGGGUACAGAGGAUUAGGGUUCGAUCCUGGAGAGUGGGCCUGAGAGAUCGCUCCUACUUCUAAGGAAGGCAGCAGGCGCGCAAAGUUCCCCUUGGGCUAUUGCCUGAGGGCGCUAGGGGACAUAUGAAUGGCUAUCAAUUUUGGUGGCCAAUUCAAAUGGGUCUGUUGUAAAUAGGCUCUCGAGUAACAAUUGGAGGACAAGUCUGGUGGACAAGGGAACCCUCAAAAGUUCUCCCCAACGCCAGAUGUCGGCUACCCCGGGGUCACCCUUGACCACGGGGAGGUUUCGGCAGAAAGCCGGGAUAAGCUCCGGCUGUACAACUGUAAAUUGCAGGGAACACCAGGUAUGGGUGGGGUACCACAGCCCAGGGAAACAAUAACCGGGGUCCUGUCCGCGAGGGCAGGGGUAACAAUCCUCAUUCCAGGGGCCUUCGUCCGGGCCAGCCGCCCUUUAACCGGGGUGGCACCAUCCUGGUCAAUCUGCAGCCAAGCCGCUAAGCCCCCUCGCGGGGGAAUGCGGAAGGUUCAGAGACUAUAAUCAGUUGGGCGCAAGCUUAAGGAAUAGUCCACUCCCCCCAGCAAUGGGGCCGGCAGAAGUAUCGGGUGGUAGCUCACCCGAGAGGCAUGCCGGGUCCUUCGAAGCGCGGGCGCAUUAAAAAUACCCGUGCGAGGUACAGGAUGGUAGACAGGGCCAGCACCCGCGGUAAUUCCAGCUCCAAUAGCAUACGUUAAAGUUGUUGCGGUUAAAACGCUCGUAGUCGCGGUUGGGCCAACAGAAGGCUCGGGCUGCUUAAGCCGGGUAAAACGUGCGUCCUCGCAAGGGGGCGUAUGCCGGCGAUACGUAGCUCGGGCUUGACGUUGGAUCCGACCAAAGUGCCCCUUGACGUUCGGCUUGCCGAUUACAGGCCCUCACGGGCUGGUCGGGGGGUGCCCUAUUGCCGUGAUUAAACUGGGGUGAUCAAGGCAGGGCACACGCGCUCCUUGAACAGCACAGCAUGGCAUGAGGACAGCCGGGCAGCCCGUUCCCAGACCCCUAAACAAAGCCGGGGGACGGAUGUUCCGGUGCACUUAAAGGGUUGUUUCAGGGUAGCCGAAUUGCCGGGCGAGUGGUGAAAUACGUUGACCCUGGCAAGUCGACCAAAGGCGAAAGCAGCUACCCGGGGCCUUCCCCUUGAUCAAGAGCGAAAGUUAAGGGCUCGAAGACGAUCAGAUACCGUCGUAGUCUUAACUAUAAAUGCUACUGACCAGGUAUAGGGCGUUGUCCAUACCGACUCUCUCCGGACCUUAGGGAAACCAAAGUCUUUGAGUUCCGGGGGGAGUAUGGUCGCAAGUCUGAAACUUAAAGGAAUUGACGGAAGGGCACACAAAGAGUGGAACCUGCGGCUUAAUGGCUAGGUCGCAAUAGUCGUCCCGACCAAACAUUUGGUCGGGUAUUACGGCUAGUCGAUCCCCCCAGCAAAGGGUUGAGUGGGGGGCGGCAAGACAACCUGGUACGGGGGAGGCCCUCUGUGAGGGUUAAUCCCGUGGCGAGUCUGCCGGGAGUAAUCUCGGAUAGACCGUCGUAACGCACGGUAAGGUGUCGGGGGUCCUCCUCGCGAGGAUCCCUUAAGGGACGUGCUACUCCCCCCGCAAGGGUGCUCGGUACUUUAGGUCUCAACCACCGAAGGUAUCGGGAGCCGACUAACUGCAGCCUAAAUAACUGCAGGGUGGCUGGUAUCAAGGUAAUUUGACUCAACACGGGCCAACUCACCGGGGCAAGAUACAAUGAUGAAGGACAGGCAGAAAGACCUUUCUUGAUGAUGUAAGUGGUGGUGCAUGGCCGUUAACUAGUAGCGGCAGUAUCCGUUAAAAGCGGGUGCUAGUCGGGGCGGUUCCGCUUUCGUGAGGAUCCGUUUCCGGCGACACUGUCAAAUUGCGGGGAAAUCCAGAGUGGGCCACGGUACCGCCUCGGCAUCGAAAGAUCCGGCCGACGGCACCUCAGGAAACUUGAGGGUACGGUAAGAAUCCGUGGCCUGGGACUAUCCGCAGCCAAGCCCUAAAGCGCGCGCCCUUUCCGGAGGGGGUGGGCCACGGGUGCAGUUCAACGACUAAAUGGCAGUGGGCUUUCUCCGGAUGUCUGUAUCCGGGCAAGUAAGGCUUAAGAUAUAGUCUUGCCCCACCGGAAGGUGGCCCUGGGAUGAAGGGGACCAACGAUCCCCCCGAGCCCAGGGAGAACACUCGCACCCGCUCGUCCGGGUGAGGGUGUUCGGGAACAACAGUCUUAGUUCGUGGAGUGAUCUGUCUGGUCUAUUCCGAUAACGAGCGAGACCCUAAUCCCUAACUAGGGGCGGCAGCCAGGCUCUUGUCUUCUACCCCGUUGAUGGCCGGUUCGCCGGUCGGAGGCGGGGGCGGGGCAUCUGUACCCAGCUGUCGCCUAUGAGCGCGAGCUCCUUCUUAGGGAGACCGGGGCCGAAAAGGUCUCUGAAUGGGGUAAUAACAGGUCAGUGAUGCCCUUAGAUGUUCCGGGCCGCACGCGGGUUACAAUGGGCAAGCAAAACGGGCGUACCUCCCGCAAACACGUCCUUCGGGAUGUGGGGGGGUAGUCCUUACGCCUAACGGUGAUAGUAAUCCUUAGGGCUUGCCCCGCCUGGGCUAGUCUUUUGGAACUAUUGGUCUUAAACUCGGAAUUUUUAGUAGUCGCGGGUCAUUAACCCGCGACGAAUUAGUCCCUGCCCUUGUAUGUACUAGGGGUAAAAGGGGGCCGAAAGGUUCCCUAGUCCGGGUUACGCACGCGAGUGCGUAGCCUCGCGCCCGAAUCGACGGGUCGAAUCCCUUUUCAUCCGUGAAAAAGGGAGGGGCAACACUGUCAAAUUGUUCGGGAAGUCCCUAAAACCGUAUCCCCCAAAUGCGCGGUGAAAGCCGGAAAAAUCAGGAGCCGCGACCCCCUCACGGGGAUAGCUGCCUGCGCAUGGCCAGGUUAAUUGCCUCGGGUAUGGGAAAAGUGAUACGGAUGUGUGGUGAUUCAGUCCUCGGAUUGCUUCCUUUGCCACCCAGAGCACAGCUCUGCGAAUGGGUAACCCGCAGCCAAGCCCGUAGUGCGACUAUGCCGCAGCCCGGUUAGGGGUGCGAGAAGUUAGCGUAACCGGGUGCAGUUCACAGACUAAAUGUCAGUGGGUCGUGCGAGGAUGCGUCCUCUCACGGCUUAAGAUAUAGCCGGUCCUCCCGGGAUAACUGGGCCCUUUCCAUAAGGUGCGGAGCACCGAAAGUAAGGGGGCGGAUUAAUGCCCACGCACUGUGGUUGAUCUGCUUGGAUUAAACGUUGUACACACCGCCCGUCGCUGCUACCGAUUGGGUAUGGCAGUUACGCGUUCGGAGGCUGGGGAGUCCGGGGCCCGCUGCUCACGUGGCGGCCUCUUCUCCGGCUGAAGUCCUAUUACUG